GAUGAACGCUGGCGGCAUGCCUAAUACAUGCAAGUCGAACGGAUAUCUUCGGAUAUGAGUGGCGAACGGGUGAGUAACACGUAGGGAACCUGCCUGCAUGAGCGGGAGAACUUCUGGAAACGGAAGCUGAUACCGGAUGAGCAAAGAGGAGGCAUCUUCUUUUUGGAAAAGGGGACAAGAGUCCCGCAUGCAGAUGGACCUGCGGUGCAUUAGCUGGUUGGAGAGGUAACGGCUCACCAAGGCGACGAUGCAUAGCCGGCCUGAGAGGGCGGACGGCCACACUGGGACUGAGACACGGCCCAGACUCCUGCGGGAGGCAGCAGUAGGGAAUUUUCGUCAAUGGGGGGAACCCUGAACGAGCAAUGCCGCGUGAGCGAGGAAGGUCUUCGGAUCGUAAAGCUCUGUUGCCGGGGACAAAAGGCAGAAAGAGUGGAAA
rnacentral:rRNA from 1 species